rnacentral:rRNA from 1 species
GACGAACGCUGGCGGCGUGCUUAACACAUGCAAGUCGAACGAAGUGGCGAACGGGAGAGUAACGCGUAAUCAACCUGCCCUUCAGAGGGGGAUAACAGAUGGCAACGACUGCUAAUACCUCAUACUGAAGGAGGGGAUUGCGUCUGAUUAGCUAGUUGGAGGGGAAACGGCACACCAAGGCGAUGAUCAGUAGCCGGUCUGAGAGGAUGAACGGCCACAUGUGGACUGAGAGACGGCCCAGACUCCCACGGGAGGCAGCAGUGGGGAAUCUGCCGCAAUGGACGAAAGUCUGACGGAGCAACGCCGCGUGAGUGAUGACGGCCUUCGGGUUGUAAAGCUCUGUUAAGCGGGACGCGGUACCGGAAUAGAAAGCCACGGCUAACUACGUGCCAGCAGCCGCGGUAAUAC